UACGAAGGGGGCUAGCGUUGCUCGGAAUCACUGGGCGUAAAGCGCAUGUAGGCGGGUCCUUAAGUCAGGGGUGAAAUCCCGGAGCUCAACUCCGGAACUGCCUUUGAUACUGGGGAUCUUGAGUCCGGAAGAGGUGAGUGGAACUCCGAGUGUAGAGGUGAAAUUCGUAGAUAUUCGGAAGAACACCAGUGGCGAAGGCGGCUCACUGGUCCGGUACUGACGCUGAGGUGCGAAAGCGUGGGGAGCAAACAGG
rnacentral:rRNA from 1 species